AUAGCCAGAUCACCAGAUAAGGCCCCCAAAUAACUACUAAGUGAAAAAGGAUGUAUUAACACAUAGACGACCAGGAGGUUUGCUUAGAAGCAGCCAUUUUCCUUUAAAAAUUGCGUAAUAGCUUACUGGUUAAGUGUUUUUGCGCCGAUAAUGAAUGGGGCUAAGUAGUUUGCCGAAGCUGUGAGUAUAUAACGGUAGGAGAGCGUUCUGUUUGGGCUGAAGCAGUAAUGAAAAUAAUUGUGGACUAUACAGAAGUGAGAAUGUCGGCUUAAGUAACGAAAACAUUGGUGGGAAUCCAAUGCUCCGAAAACCUAAGGUUUCCUUCUCAAGGUUCGUCCAAGAAGGGUUAGUCAGAUUCUAAGAUGAAGCCUAAUGGUUUAUUCGAUGAUAAACAGGUUAAUAUUCCUGUACUACAUAGUGGAAUCAAUUAAGGAGGACAAAGUAAGUUAGGUUUGCCAAAGAUUGGUUGUUUUGGUUUAAGCUCUCGAGGUGUUGAGGGGUAUAAUUAAAAAAUAUUUUGAGCUAAGAAGUGAAAUUAAGAUGCUACGGUGUUGAAAAAACUGAUAUUAAGCUUUCUAGAAAAUUCCUUGCAAUGGCAUUUCCGUGUAGCUGUACCGUAAACCGACACAGGUGGGUAGGUAGAAAAUACUAAGGAGAGCGAGUUAAAUCUUUUUAAGGAACUCGGCAAAUUAGCCUUGUAACUUCGGGAGAAAAGGUGCCUUAUGAAAAUAAGGUUGCAGUGAAUAGUUCCAGGCGACUGCUUACCAAAAGCACAGGUCUCCGCUAAGUUGUAAAACGAUGUAUGGGGGCUGAUGCCUGCCCAGUGCUGGAAGGUAAAAGAAACUUGUUAGUGUUUACACAAAGCUAGUGACUGAAGCCCCAGUAAACGGCGGUGAUAACUAUAAUCAUUUUAAAGUAGCGAAAUUCCUUGUCGGGUAAGUUCCGACCUGCACGAAAGGCAUAACGAUCUGGAAACUGUCUCAAAAAGAUUCUCGGUGAAAUAGAAUUAACUGUGAAGAUGCGGUUAACUUGCACUUGGACAGAAAGACCCUAUGAAGCUUUACAGUAGCCUGAUAUUGGUUUCGGACUUUUUUUGCGCAGAAUAGGUGGGAGGCGUUGAAGCAUUUUUUUGGAAAUGUGGAGCCAUCAGUGAGAUACCACUCUGAAAAAGUUAGAGAUCUAAAGAUAUUUCCUUAAUAAAGGAUAUUUGACAGUGUCAGGUGGGCAGUUUUACUGGGGCGGUAGCCUCCCAAAAGGUAACGGAGGCGUACAAAGGUUUUCUCAAACAGGCCGGAAAUUUGUUGUAGAGUGUAAAGGCAUAAGAAAGCUUAACUGUUAGACCUAUAAGUCAAGCAGGGACGAAAGUCGGUCUUAGUGAUCCGGCAGUUCCAUAUGUGAGGGCUGUCGCAUAACAGAUAAAAGUUACUCUAGGGAUAACAGGCUGAUCUCCUCCAAGAGUUCACAUCGACGAGGAGGUUUGGCACCUCGAUGUCGGCUCAUCGCAUCCUGGGGCAGUAGUAUGUCCCAAGGGUUGGGCUGUUCGCCCAUUAAAGCGGUACGUGAGCUGGGUUCAGAACGUCGAGAGACAGUUCGGUCCAUAUCCGGUGCAAGCGUAGGAGUAUUGAAAGGAUCUUUUUUUAGUACGAGAGGACCGAAAAAGACACACCUCUGGUGUACCAGUUCUUAUGCCAAUAGGAUAUGCUGGGUAGUCAAGUGUGGAGU
rnacentral:rRNA from 1 species